GGAGUAAAAGUCGUAACAAGGUCUCCGUAGGUGAACCUGCGGAGGGAUCAUUACCGAGCUCAUGCCCUUACGGGUAGAUCUCCCACCCUGUGUUAUUAUUACCUUUGUUGCUUUGGCGGGCCGUUAGGCUCCGGCCCGACUACCGGCCCCGGCUGGUAAGCGCCCGCCAGAGGACCCAAAACCCUGAAUAUUAGUGUCGUCUGAGUACUAUAUAAUAGUUAAAACUUUCAACAACGGAUCUCUUAGUUCUG
rnacentral:misc_RNA from 1 species